rnacentral:lncRNA from 1 species
AAAACACUAAGAAAGAGCUGAGAAGCGGGCCAAUAAAGAGCCAAGAGAAAAAAAAUGGAGGAAGAGAGAAUUUCCACGGAAAUUACUGAGUGGAAAACCCUUUCCUUGAUCUCAUGGGCCCAUGCCAGCCUCGGGCCAACUUCGAAGUUAAAAGAAGGUGAAUAAUGGGUUUGAGAACUGUGUAAAGAGUGUAGCUGAUCAGAGGAAGACAUACGGAGCUGCAAAUGAAAGAGGUGAAGUAGGAUCUGGAUUUGGUGGAAAGCUCAUGGGGAGUUAUGUUCUGUAGUAAGGUUUGAGUGCUCGGUUAAAGACUGUAAAAUGUUACCAAUAAAAUGCAAAAUGGGCAAA